GUAGGGAAUAUUGGGCAAUGGAAGGAAUUCUGACCCAGCCAUGCCGCGUGCAGGAAUACAGUCCUAUGGACUUUAAACUGCUUUUAUUAUAGAGUAACCUGGGGGACGUGUCCCCCACUGCAAGUAUAUAAUGAAUAAGCAUCGGCUAACUCCGUGCCAGCAGCCGCGGUAAUACGGGGGAUGCAAGCGUUAUCCGGAUUUAUUGGGUUUAAAGGGUGCGCAGGCUGAUCGGUAAGUCAUGGGUGAAAAGUCACUGAUUAACAGUGAUCGUGCCUAUGAUACUGCCGGACUAGAGUUUAAGAAGUGUAACUGGAAUGUGAUGUGUAGCGGUGAAAUGCUUAGAUAUGUCACUGAACGCCAAUCGUGAAGACAGGUUACAAACUUAAUACUGACGCUCAUGCACGAACGCGUUGGGAUCAAACAGGAUUAGAAACCCGAGUAGUCC
rnacentral:rRNA from 1 species